rnacentral:rRNA from 1 species
UACGUAGGGUGCGAGCGUUAAUCGGAAUUACUGGGCGUAAAGCGUGCGCAGGCGGUGAGCUGUGUCCGAUGUGAAAGCCCCGGGCUCAACCUGGGAAUGGCAUUCGGGACUGCAAGGCUGGAGUGCGGCAGAGGAGACUGGAAUUCCUGGUGUAGCAGUGAAAUGCGUAGAUAUCAGGAGGAAUACCGAUGGCGAAGGCAGGUCUCUGGGCUGACACUGACGCUCAUGCACGAAAGCGUGGGGAGCAAACAGG